rnacentral:lncRNA from 1 species
GAAUCUUCCCCCUUCUCUCUGUUCGAUACUCAUGAACCCCAUGCUUAGUAAUUUGAACUCUUUACUUGUACUUCGCUGUUGCUUAUUCCCAUUAAUACACCCUCCACCCUCUGUCUUCUCCCUGUAUCUCUCUUUCCUAAAGGUUACCAUUCAUUCUUCUUUAUCAUACCAUUUCCAGCAGCCACCUUGUAGAGAAGGUUCAUUAAAUUUUUGUACAAUACUACAUACAAUAAUGAACCUUGUGUACAAAUUGGCUGCAGGAUGGUAUGAACCUCACAGUUCUGGUCGCCUUGGUGCGGCCGUAAUGUUUGUCCUAUCCAUAAUAUUUGGAAGGUCCUGCCUCUUAUUAUUAUUAUUUUUUAACUUCCAGUCUUAAGCAAUUGUCUGAUCUAUUAUAGCACGGAUGUGCUUUAGUAUAAUUGUCUGAUCAUAAUUACUUUCAAUUUACAAGGACUGCACAACAAAACUACCAUGGAUGGUACUCUUGAAAGGCUUUUUCUGCAGGCUAUUUGGGUAACUAAUUUUCCAUCUUCUUAUUACAAUAUCAUAUAAAAUUUGGGUUUUCCCCCUCAAAUUUAGUUUUCCUUACGUGCAAGUGCAACAAGAAAUCCUUUUGGAAAGUUUUAGUUAAGUGGAUGAGUUACGAUUUUAUAUGCACAUAUGUGUUCUGAAUAUUCGAUAGUUGGUCAUUCAAUCGGCCUCUGUUGUUAUUUACUCAAUACAGUAAAUAUUUGCAGAGUACGGGAGCUUUGUUUGUUCAAAUUGGUCUUGGAUAUAUUGGAAUGGUGUUGAAUUUGAAAAUGAUCAAUUUUGGGUCUCUUGUCUUUCUACAUGUCAGUUUAAAUAUUUGCAGUUAGCAGGGAGGUUUUCUUUGGGAUAUAUAAUAGGCUAGUGCUGAAGCUGGCUCUUUUAUUCGUAUAUAUAUCAUCUUUCAUAGCAAUUUAGAUUUAUGAGUCUAAUUCAGAUCAAAAAAAGAUUUAUGAGUCUAAUGAAAAAUCAUCAUUUUUUCCUUUUUAAAAAAAAAUUGUCAUUCAAAUGGUAAUUGACAUAAAUUUAGAGAUUUGUUUGUAGGUUUUUUUUUUUUUUUUUAGGUGCAUUAAAAUAGAAAAAAGUCAUGUUUGUAACUUUUUACACUCACCUAUGCUUCUUAUGUGUUUUCGAUCAAAAAUGCUUCUUACGUGUUUAUUUAUCUCCUAAUAUUUUAACGCAACUAAUUUUAAUUGUAACAUUUGAUUUAUUGGUUACUUGAUUUUUAAAUUUUUUGAAUAAUAAUGUACCUAUUUCGUGAUUUAUUAAAAACAGCAUAUCAAAUUUUUUCUUUUUUAUGAAUGAUAAUAUACCUAUUAAUUUUCUAGUUUACCUGUUAAUUUUAUGGAUAAUAAUAUACCUAUUAUCUUUUUUCAAUAAUAAUUUAUCUAUUAUUUUUUUGUGAUAUUUAAUGUGAAUUUCCAUAUACUUGACUAAACCCUAGAUUAGUCUUUAUUGUGCUUAUCGAUAUUGUGUUAUGGUGUUGUGUGAUUCAUUAAUCGCAAAACAUUUAGUUGGUAUAUUAGGUAUUGAAUUAUUCCAAGUAUUGGAGUUGUAGUGAAAUUAGUAAGUAUAUUAGUAGUAUGUAAAUUGUAUAGGUAAAUAAUUUUAAAGUUUACCGUGCCAUAGUUAAAUAAUUAUUAAUAAAAUCUAGGUAAACUAGGUAAAUUAGGUGAAAAUGUGGUAGGUUUAUGUCUCGAAUAUAGGAGUUACAUGGACUUUUCUUCACGUGACUAAAAUAUUUGGGCCUCAAACCUUUUCGAAGAGGGAGACGGACUGACCUUUUCGUAGUUUGGUUCUUUUACUAAAGCAGAGCUCAUCAAUCAAUUGGGUAUUUGAAUUACGUGGAAACCAGGCGGUGAGACACUGAAAUUGGAUUUUGCAUGUCUCCAUAAAAAAUAAUAAAUAAAUAAAAACACUCUUUGCAUGUCUCUCCAAAAAAAAAAAAAAAAACACUCUUUGCAUGCCUCUAAAAUAAAAAAUAAAAAAACAACACUUUUUGCAUGUCUCUAAAAACAGUUCCUAGUCUACCUACUUCUAUACUCAGUCCUAACAAUCUACUACCUGCGCACUGAUACCAAUUCUGUCACGCCUCAAAACUGAAGUGUGAAUUAAAGGGAUGCAUAAACGAUUAAAUGACAAAUAAAAAUAAUAGAAUAGAAAGUUUAAUGGAAGAAAUCAACAAAAUUAAACAAGUUAAAAUGGUUAGAAAAUUUCUCAUUGAUUUUACUAGCCACAAAGAAAAAUCUGUAGCGACGUCCAGUAAGAUAAAAUGCACCAAAAAUUGAGCUUUGCACCAAUAGGAACGAAAAUUUCCAAGACAUGUGAAACUAUAAUGUGUCAAAAUUUCAAAGAAUUCUGAGUACAAAUGACAUUUCAAAAUGCUCAAUGCAAAUAAGCUAAACUGCAGGAUUUUGAAAAUUUCUGCUGUAUAAGUUAUGCUAUGAAAACAUAUUUGAAACCAUAAGAUUUAAAGUCUGUUUUGGUCUCAAAACAUGCUGGAAGGGAUUUGGUAGCAGUAAGGCCCUCCAGUCAUAGGGCUAAAUGUAGUCUAAAGCUAAAAAUUUAGCCCUCCAAAAUAUUAAUUUUUUAAAGAAUAGUAUAGGGCUAAAUUUUUCCAUUUCCAGGCUCCAGCCAUGCAAGGCUAUAUUUUAGGGUCCUUCAUAUUUUAUUAUUUUGAGAAAAACUAUGGUACAACGCUCAUACAUUUCACAAUUAUAUAUUGUUUAAUUUAAUUAAACUACUAUUUAGAGACAAUAUUCCAUAUAUGUGACCACAUUAUAAAAUUAAAAAAAAGGUUUCAAUGGUCUGAUCUCCAACGGUAAUGACCAAGAAAUUUUUAUAUAUUUUUUUAAACAACACUUGAAAACAUUUAAAAAGGUGACCACAUUUUAUAAAUUUUUAUAAAAUAAAAUAAAUAAAUAAAGGAUGGGUUUCAAUGGUCUAACCUCCAAUGAUCAUGACCAAUAUUUUUUUUUAUACUUUUUUCUUAAACAACACGAAUUGAAACAUUUAAAAAGGCUUUAAAAAAUAUAUACACUCUAAUGUUGGCUGUUGAAAAGCAAAUGCAUGGGGCUCACAAAAAAUUUGGCCUAGGCUAAAGCUGGGCUACAUUUGGCCCGGUUGGAGGGCUAAAGGGACAAAUUUGGCCCUCCAAAUUUGGCCAGAAUUUUGUUUAGCCCAUGGCUGGAGAUGAGUUUUGCAUUAUUUUAGGGCUAUAUUUGGGAUAUAGCCCAUGGCUGGAGAUGGCCUAACAUAUCAAUAUCACAACACUAUACCGUCCACACAUAGAGCCUUACCCAUGAAAAUUGGGUCAUUGUGCCCAUACCAUUUGAAAAUUUACGGAUCAUUGUUGGUGAUGAGAAAUUAGACUACCAAAAACUGUUUCGUCAUCUAAUUGUUGUUGUGUUCCUUCCAAGUGCCAAUAUAUGGUUAGUAUAGUGGUACAAGUAAGGGUGCUGAACCACAGGGACCGAUUGGACCUCUAUAAAUUACUAGUUUUGAAAGAACUCUAACUAAAAAUGAAGGUGACAAAUUGGAAGUAGCUUUUGUGUUGUAAAUGAAAAAUAACUUAAAAUGUAAGAAGAAUGUAGCAGUGAAUGAUAUAUUGAUGUAGAAAGAAUAGGGAUGAGACUAGGGAUUUCGAAUUCACCAUUGCAAAACCAAUUUCGUGUUUAUAAAGUUAAACCAUAUUCAACUACCAACCUGUUUCUAGAAUUCGUUUUACAUAUAUAUGAUCAGCCAUAUGAUGUGUGGUUUUGAUCAAAUUCUCCUAAUCUACAACCUAAUUGGGAUGUUCAACUUUGGUUCCAUGUUAAGAGUCAUUAGCAUGCAAGAAAACGUUAAAGAACCAAAGAAAAUACAUGGCAAGAUGUUUGCAUAGCAUUCUCUUCAUUCAUUCACAUGUCUACCAAGAUUAAGCAUGAUAUUUAUUAUAACCUUGUCCAAAUAAUUUGUAGGCAACCCUAAUGGUGAUCAAACAUUAAAAUUGACAAACAAAUUUAACAAUAGUUUCAGUGAAUGAAACAAGAAGCAAAUUGAUGAACUGAAUACUUUAACUUAGAAACAUGGAUCAAUGUUGCAAGGCUACAUCGAAAUCUCCAUAUACGAAUUUAGUUACACAUCAUGUUCACCGAGAUUAAAACGAAAAUAAACAACAUGAGUGAAAAUAAAUUCAAGAGAGGAAACCCUUGAACCAAUUCUGAUGUUGAACUUCUCCAAGAACAGCCUCCUGCGAUGAGUCAUGAUGGUGGAAAUAUAUGGACGGCUAGAGUUUAAGUGUGCAUGAAAGGAGAGAAUAACCAAAAAGGAGGGCUAGGGUUAUGAAAUUCGUCUAGAAUAAAUAGGGUCUGUAAAAGUGGCUAAAAGAUAAGUUUUUAUGGGUUAAAAGAGGCUGCAAGAUAUUCCAAAGAGAUCUAACAAAUCAGCCUCUAUUUUGCACGUUUUUGCCUUAUUUGGCACCUCCAAAUCAGGCUAGAAAUUCCCAUUGCUUUCCCAUUUUGCUCUUAGUCUUCAAACAAGCUAGGUUUGCCUUGGAUUCUUUAUUUGCACUUCAAAACAGGUCACAAAAUUUGUUUUCACGUUUGAAUAAGGGUCAGCUCCAAAAAUGGCAUGUUUUCAUUUCUUUUGCCUUCAACUUGAUCCUAAAGUAGAUGCAACUGCAUACUAACACAAAAUAGGGUAAAACGCAACAAUUUAACUCAAAAAAUCACAAAUAGACUAGAAGUGUGGUAUAAAUGUAUAAAUAUAUGAGUUAUUAAUUGUGCCAUACAAUAUCAAUGAAUAUGGUGCUUUAAGAAAGUACUAAAAUUUCAAUAACUCAAUUAAGUGAUCAAAUGAUAUCGGAUUUAAGUGAUUUUUUUUGUAGAGAUGAUCUUUGAAUGAUUUCAUUUUGCAUUGUAAACAUAGUAAAGAAGACUUGCGCAUAUUGUGGAAGUAUUGAACAACAAUAUGUUUUGCGCGUUGUUGUACAUAUUAUUAACGACGUUUAUCUGCGUGUUGUUGUUUACAUUUUAACAACCCUCUUUGCAUGUUUCUCCCAAAAAAAAAUAAAAAACACUCUUUGCAUGUCUCUCAAAAAAGAUAAAAACACUCUUUGCAUGUCUCUCAAAAAAAAUUAAAAAUAACUACACUCUACCAACAUUGAACCAAAAACUGAGUACUGCAUAAUGAGAAGAGAGUUUAUCAAAUGUAGAAACUGAAAUUUUGGAUACUAAAAUCUAAGAAAGAGAAGAAUAUCCAUAUUUGUAAAGUCCAUUAUGGCAAAUUUUUUUUUUAAAAAGAUGCUUGCGCUUGUGAACACAGAUGCACAAGAAAUGAAAGUUAAUUUGGGAUGAUACCCUUAAAAUAAAUAUAAAUGAUAAAAGAAACUUAACACUUACGGCAGCAACAGUGAUGUCCAAGUCUUCCAUUAUUCCGGAUCUUCAGCUGCGGUGGGUAGUUCUAUUGGGAAUGAAUGUGAUUAAAUUAAAUUAUUAUCAAAUUACUAAAUGCCCUUCAGUGCUAAAAUCACUUAUUUUCGUAUUUUAUCUUUCCGUUUGAUAAAAUUAGAAAAAUCUGAUUUUUCUACGGCUUGUCUUUUUCAACCAAAAUGUCUAUGUCCCUUUUUUUUUUUUUUUUUAUUUAUUUAUUUAAUUUUUUUUUAUACAAAUAAUAGUCUAAAAAUACUAUGAAUUAAUCUAAAAUUUAUCUAAUCUAACCGGGGGAUGUCUGCGGCCUAUGACCUUGUUAAGUAAGAUAAAAGAUUUAAAACUUAGGCUAAUUUAGUAAUUUAACUUACUACUCACAAGACCUAAUUAAUCUACCUCAACUAUUUACCUACUUGUUCUAUUUUUUUAGUAAUUUCUAUUUGUAGCUUCAAUCACACAUGCUUAAGCCAAAAAAAUAAAAAUAAAAGAGAACUGAUCUUCUUAUUGAAUUAACCCAAGUUUUUUGUGUGGUAAUCAACCAUUAAGCAAGCUGCGUUGUGUUUUACUCGUUUGUCCUUUCAAUGUGCUUUGCUGCAUCAAAUUGUUAAUAAUGAUAAAUAAAUAAAAAGAUUAAAUGUUCCUUUUAGAAAAGAAUUAGGAGACUUAUCUGUUCAACCAUUAGACUUAAACAUAUGAUUCUGGUUCUGAAAAAAAUUAUACAAUUACAAAUGCUUUUUGAACUCUUUACUUGUCUUGUACUUAGCUGUUUCUUAUUCCUAUUAAUACACCCUCCAUCCACCCUCUGUCUUCUCCCUGUAUCUCUCUUUCCAAAAGGUUACCAGUCAUUCUUCUUUAUCAUACCAUCUCCAGCAGCCACUUUGUAGAGAAGGUUCAUUUGAUUUUUGUACAAAUACAAUUCACAAUAAUGAACCUUGUGUACAAAUUGGCUGCUGGGAUGGUAUGAACCUCACAGUUCUGGUCGCCGCAUGUGUUUUGGUGUGGCUGCUUGUCUCUCCCCCUCUUUCUUUUACUGUAUCCUCCUCAUCCUCUGUGGUGAUUCUGCCUCACCAUCUGUGGUGAUUUUUCUUGGGAUUUAUGCUCAUUUCUAGAGGUUCUUCGUCUAUUGGUGUCUCUUAUCGCCACCUCUCUACCACAGAUCUCCGCUCCUCGUGUUCACGGAUGCCUUUCAAAAGCAUGCAUAAGCGCGCGUUGGAGCGAGGGGGAGAGAAAUCUCCCUAGGCGUACGAAUGUUUAGCUUGUUGCACGCUUAGCGUGGCGAUUCGUGGAAGGCGCGAAGAAGCGCCUCUGUCUGCAAGCCAAAGCGCGAGGAAGAAGACGACCUCGCUUGAAUUUUUCUGUUUUGGUUUGUUUUAAUACGACGUCGUU